rnacentral:rRNA from 1 species
AUGGCGCGGACGCGCUCGCUGGACGCGGGCGACGAGGAGUUCUUCGACUCCAGGGAGACCAUCUCGCCGCCCUCCGUCGCCUCGCCGGCCAGCUCCGGCCGCCACAGCGGCGCCGGCGACGGCGACGGCGUUUUGCUCUGCGGCGGGGCCCUGCUCGAGGUCUGGGCCACGGGCCCCUUCAGCGUCGAGGAGCGCCGCGAGCGGUUCGUCCGCUCCCUGGGCCUCCUGGAUCCGGGAGAAUCGGGGCCGCGCCCGAUGCCCCGCGCCAGCUUGGAGAUCGUCCUGGCCAGCCCCGCCGCGGCGCCGGCCUCGCCCGCCCCUCGUCUCGCGCGCGGGGCUGCCGGGGAGGGGGAGGAGGCGGGGGCGCCCGGCCGAAGCGGCGGCGGCGGCGGCGGCGAGGACGGCCUGGAGUGCGUGUUCAAGAACCUGGACGACGGCACGGUCUUCGUCGUCCACGAGCUGGGCAAGGACGGCAGCUUCCGGAGCCUCCGGGAGCGCCGCUCCAACCGGACCGUCACCGCCGCGGAAUUCGAGAGGAUCUCCGGCUCCUCCCCGUUCAUCCGCGAGAUGAUGCGCCGGGUGGACGACUCCUCGGACGAGCCCUCCACCCCGGAGAAGUCGAGGCGCCGGAGGAGGCGGCGGUUCGGGUGGCUCCGGAGGCUGGGCGUCGGCGCCUGCGUCGUCGACGCUGAGGACGACGACGAGGCGAAUUCCACCUCCUCCAGCUCCUGCCGGAGCUGCGCCGGGAAGCCCGGGAAGGCCGUUGACAGGGUCAAGGUCAGGCCAUACAAGAAGCGGUCAAAGGAAUUGUCAGCGGUGUACAGGGGCCAAGACAUCAGGGCGCACAAGGGCGCCAUUGUGGCCAUGAAGUUCAGCUCCGACGGGCAGUACCUGGCCACCGGAGGCGAGGACGGGGUGGUGCGCGUGUGGCGGGUGGUGGAGGGCGAGAGGCCCGACGAGCUCGACUUCGCCGAGGACGAUCCGUCGUGCGUCUUCUUCACUGUCAAUGAGAACUCUGAACUGGCUCCUGUCAACUCGAGCGAAGGGACCAAGAGCAAACAGGACAAGAGCUCAAAGGGGCAAGCAGAUCCGGCCUGCGUUGUGAUCCCUCACCGGACCUUUGCGCUGUCUCAGGUCCCUGUGCAUGAAUUCUAUGGGCAUGAUGAUGCCAUCUUGGAUCUCUCAUGGUCCAAAAAUGGGGACUUGAUUUCUGCAUCUAUGGAUAAAACUGCUCGACUGUGGCGGGUCGGGUGCAAUAGUUGUCUCAAGGUUUUCUACCACAAUAACUACGUGACAUGCGUUCAGUUUCACCCUACGAGUGACAAUUAUUUUAUCAGCGGCUGCAUCGACGGGUUGGUUCGCAUUUGGGAUGUUCGUAAAUGCCUAGUGGUAGACUGGGCUAACAGCAAAGAGAUAAUCACCGCAGUCUGUUACCGGCCUGAUGGAAAGGGGGUAGUGGUUGGGACCAUAACAGGAAAUUGCCGCUACUACGAUGCAUCAGAAAAUCGUCUAGAACUGGAAUCUCAGGUCUCUCUGAAUGGCAGAAAGAAGUCUCCACUUAAAAGAAUAGUUGGUUUCCAGUACUGCCCAUCUGAUCCAAAGAAGUUGAUGGUAACAUCUGGUGACUCACAAGUUCGCAUUCUUGAUGGGGUUCAUGUAAUUUCCAACUACAAAGGUUUACAAAGCUCAAGCCAAGUUGCCGCAUCAUUUACCCCAGACGGAGAUCACAUUAUCUCUGCUAGCGACGAUUCCCGUAUCUACAUGUGGAAUCAUGUGAACCAACUUGCCCCAGUCACAAGCCGCGUGAAGACAGUGUGGUCAUACGAGCGUUUUUUCAGCAACGAUGCCUCCAUCGCCAUACCGUGGAACGCCUCACAGUCAAGGAACUCUAUUUCACUGGCCUGCAACAUCCCGUCUUUGCGGCAAGAAGUCUCGGGCGACCUCUGCGACAUACAGGACAGCAGCACAUCACGCUGCCAGACUGAAGAUUGCCUUGAAGAUGACAACAUGUUCCGGUUACCAUCGGGCAAUUUCACUCUGAGCAGGGCGUUCCUUGCGGAGUCUGCUCCAAGGGGAACAGCCACUUGGCCGGAGGAGCAUCUGGCAUCCAACUCCACGACGGCGUCUACGUUGCGUAAAUCUCAGUACAAGUUCCUGAAGGCGUCUUGCCAGAAUGCAGCCACACAUGCCUGGGGCCAGGUCAUAGUCACCGCAAGCUGGGAUGGCCACAUCAGGUCAUUCCAGAACUAUGGCUUGCCGGUGCAAGUUUGA